GCAGAGCGGAGCCGCGACGUGCAAGGAAGAAGUCUGCGCGGAAGGAAAUGCAAGAGCCCGGAUCUAGCAAUAGGCGAAAGCAACGCGCUGCGAACUGCUGCGAAGGCGAGACGCCCAGCGCGCCCUGGAAGCUCCGCUACCCUGCCCGACGGUGGAUCCCUUCCCUUCCUCACUGCCGCCAAAACAAUCCAUCCCAAAUGUUACAUGAGAACCUUUGAAUGCUGGGACGAGGAUGCUGGGAUGAGGACACUGGGAACGUAGAUGCUGAUUCUGCAAAAUGCUGAGCAACUUUAUCUCCCGUUGACAUCAGUGGGUGUUAUGCUUAAUUGGAGUGGAACACUUCAACACCAUUAAAUUGAAACAAGCUACCAGCUUUUUCUUGCUUGUGUUUCUGGCCUGGUUCCAAAUGACGUUUAAAGCAAUCUCAGAUGUUUAAUUCCUGCCACACAGGCUGCUUGCUUGGGGUGGGGGAAAUACAGCAACCGACAUAACCAUAUUAAAGUUAAAAAGAUUUCCAGACAAAAGAAAGUUUGGACGAAACUUACUGGGCCCCAUUCUGCUUGCACUCAACGGGUGUAAAUCUGGAGUAACUGUUUUAAUCAGGGAAGUGCUUCUCGAUUCACACCCUUGUAACCAAGGGCUGAAUCUGACCCUUCAGGGAGCGUGGAGCCUCAGAGGGGGUGAGCAGAAGGCAGAGUCCUAGCAGCACACCUCACCACACACCAGUCAAGGAAUUCAGACACCUGCAGCGAGAGGUUGUGUGGGAGCUCUGGAAGGUAUUACACACGCCUCCAUUGUAUUCAGAGAUGAAUAAGCUAAGAUAGAUUCUGAAGGCUUGAUACUGUGUGCAUCUGUCUGCAACGUAGCUUCUCUUUUGUGAUAACGACCCAAGCGAAAGAAAGAGGCAUGUUUGGAUAAAUCUGCUAAAAAAACUGGGACUUAGUCACUUCCCAGGAAUGUUGUGCCAGGAACACAAAGCACGAGUCCAUUCUUGCAAUAAACCCUAAGGUUAAAAUUA